rnacentral:rRNA from 1 species
GACGAACCGUGCGAACGUUGUUCGGAAUUACUGGGCGUAAAGGGCUCGUAGGCGGCCAACUAAGUCGGAUGUGAAAUCCCCAGGCUUAACCUGGGAACUGCAUCCGAUACUGGAUGGCUUGAAUCCGGGAGAGGGAUGCAGAAUUCCAGGUGUAGCGGUGAAAUGCGUAGAUAUCUGGAGGAAUACCGGUGGCGAAGGCGGCAUCCUGGACCGGCAUUGACGCUGAGGAGCGAAAGCUAGGGGAGCAAACGGG